rnacentral:lncRNA from 1 species
GUGGACCACUCUUUUAGAAAAAGUUGUUUAAAAUAUGAUGUAACUCUCCUCUUUUUGGGUACAAAAUUCUAAGUUUUCAAAGGUUUUGUAUAGAAGAACUAUACAAAUCCUUGGUAUUUCUAUUUUCUUUUCUACAUCAGUAAAAUGACCCCUUGUCCAUGUUGUCUGAGGGAGGGUUGUUCUCAACCUGAUAAUAAAUAACAAACACAGGUCAAAGUACGGCCUUUUACACAGGGCUUUGAUACAGACCAAACAGCAGGCUAUAAAGGACCCAAAAUUAUUAGCGUACACAAUUCGAACAGGAAAACCAACGAUCUAAUUUAUAUAUCAUGUACAUCCAAACGGGAAAAAUUAUACCAAUGAACAACAUUACCAAACGAUAACUGCUGAACGACAGGCCCCUCAAUCAAUCAGGACAGGUGCAUAAACAUGCAGAGGCUAUGGAUAGUUUUGUUUCGCCAGCAUACAAUAUAAUUGCAGUUGAAGGCAAAUCCUUCAGAAGUUCUUUGUACUUUAUUCUAACAACGAACAUGUUUUGAUAGGGAAUAUAAGUAAGGGGGAAGUAACCAAUUUUUUGUUCUUUACUCCGGUAUUUCCGCUGAUAUAGAUUUAUAUCGGAGAUACAAAUCCUUGAUCGGAGCACUCCCGCUUUGGAUAAGUAGGUUUCAUGCUGAAACAAAUAUUCUCACAGAUAUUUACAAAGUGUGCUGGGGUGCUUUUAUGUUUAAAAUCGUUAUAUACAGGUUAGACUGUGAUUUUAAAAACAAAUGUUGAUAUCUUUCUAUAAUGUUUACAAAAAAAAAACGGUGCGGGAAAUGGACAUGAUUACAUUUCCGGAUGCGGGAAGCGGGAAUAUAAAAAAAAUAAAAAAAUUCUGUUUUGAAAAAAAUAGGUGCGGGCGGGUCCGA